ACUCCAUAUUAAUGCCAAUGAUUUUGGAAUGAGAUGUUCGACGAGCAGGUGUCCACAUACCUUUGGUCAAGUAGUGUAUUUUAUGUCAUUUAUAUGUCAUGGUCAUACCAUGGCUACUCACACAAGCAUCUCCCUGGGGGAAUACAUACACAAUUGAUUUUGUAUUUGACCCACAUAUUUCCUAUUUCAUGCACUCUCCAUUUAACCUGGUACUCCACUGAAGAUCCAGAGACUGCAUACCCCAGCCAAGACGUCAUUUGGAAGAGGUUUGAGCAGGCCUUCAUUAUGUCUUGGGGACUAGUCACCUACGCUACUGUAUUCAAGGACUUACUAUAAGGGCCUGAGCUGAGGUCAUUGGUUCCAGAUGUAAACAAUACACACACACAGAUGCAUGUAUAUUGUUCGACCCGUGUUAUAUGACUUUAGUUGUUAGUGAUUAAGUUGUUAGGAUCAUUCCAAACACAGAAUAGAUUGAGUUGACCAACCAUUUUCAAGUUGUAACCAAACUGUAUUGUCACACAAAAUACACUGUGUAAUUCUUACAUGUUUAUUACUGAUGCACAGACAUACGAGCUGGAUGGGAGCACACAUGACAGUGCCUGGGACCUCAAGACCUAUCAGGACGAGACCAGGCCAUUUGUGCCAGAACACCCAGACUUCCUGGGAGCUAGGGUCCUCUUCACUUGGCACAGCCAUAUCAUUGAACACAGUGGAGGAGGCAAUGAACCUACAGAAAGCCUUUCCAGAGAUUGUAGCUGGAUUUAACUUGGUAGGUACAUCCUUAGUCACAAGACUCCUCAAAAUUGUCUAAUCUCUUUUAGUGGAAAAAAAUUAUGAUUUAUAUGGACUUAAUUUAUUAAUUACUUUCAUUACUAGGUUUAUUACUAAAUAGGUAUAGGUUGUGCAGGGUGUUGUUGACGUGUCUGACGUUUUCUUCUGGUAUUAGGUGGAAGACCCCUCUGGUACUUCGAGGAGGCUUUGUCUCUGCCAGGUGAGAGAAGAGUCAACCAUCCCUGCUUCCAUGCAGGAGAAACUGAUGAAGACAACACUGAUAUGGAUGGGAGCCUGCUGGAUGCUCUACUGAUCAACGCGUCUUGCACCGGCCACGGCUUUUCCCUGCUGCGCCACCCAGUGGCCAAGGAGCUCUCUAGGAAGAGAGGGGUGGUGUUAAAGGCGUUGGAAGGCCCGCAGGGUUUCCCAACCUCUCACAUAGAAACUCUCAAGGAACUGGCUAUGAACUCCAUCAGGUAUAGCUCUGUCUCCACAGCUGAAGGAGAAAGCCUUGACCUUGUGGCAAAGAAAAUGGGAAAUGUUUGUCUCAGAGAACUCACGAUACAGACCUGCUUGGGGAGAGGCCUGGGGCAGAGGAGUGGUCAUUUGGAUGCUGACUGUUACAUCACCUCAGACCUUGAGCCUGUUGCUUGUGCCCCAUAAGUGUUACCAUAGGAAGGGAAGGAUAUUUGGCAUGGUGUUCCCAAAUGACAAAUGGACACAAUUAGGACAAGGGAAAGGAUGCAGUUGUUAUUUAAAUGAAUACGGAGCUCCAGACGGUUUGGCAAAUUAAGUUUGAGAAGAGAAAGAGAACGAGCUCAUAUCUCCCUCCAGUGGAUUUGGUUUGUAUAACACUCCUGUAAAAAUCAGCAGACCACACUGCUGUCAGUUCCCACAAAAUGGAGGCCCCUGACAGGACUGGAAUUCACUAGUCAAAUAGUCAUGAAAGGACGCUGUUUGUUUUCAUGCAAAGGCAUUUGACAAAAAUAAAUUCUGUUGC